GGCCUUUAGCCCUCCAAGUAUUAAAGGUCCUAUCUGCCCAGUGAGCCCUCCUAAUUAAACGGCCGCGGUAUCCUAACCGUGCAAAGGUAGCGUAAUCACUUGUCCACUAAAUAUGGACCCGUAUGAACGACUAAAUGAGGGCACAUCUGUCUCCUGUGGCCCAUCAAUAAAACUGAUCUAUCAGUACAAAAGCUGAUAUAAUACCAUAAGACGAGAAGACCCUGUGGAGCUUCAAAUACACUACUAACCAACAAACCCAGGCACCCCUCUGGGGUGCCCCAAUAAGUUGGACAUAGUAAUAAUUUUCAGUUGGGGCGACUACGGAACACAACAAACCUUCCAUGUAACCAGACUAGCAAUCAGUCAAGGCCGACAGGCCAAAAUUUGACCCAGUAGUAAACUGAUCAACGAACCAAGUUACCCCAGGGAUAACAGCGCCAUCCCUUUAAAGAGUUCCUAUCGCCAAAGGGGCUUACGACCUCGAUGUUGGAUCAGGACCCCCCGGCGGUGCAGCCACUGCCAACGGUUCGUUUGUUCAACGAUUAAAGUCCU
rnacentral:rRNA from 1 species